GACGAACGCUGGCGGCGUACCUAAUACAUGCAAGUAGGACGCAGUUGCGAACGGGUGAGGAACGCGUAGGUAACUGCAUAUUAGAGGGGGGUAACUAUUGGAAACGAUAGCUAAUACAGCAUACUAAUAGAUGGAACUGCGUUGUAUUAGCUAGUAGGUAGGGUUAGGGCCUACCUAGGCGACGAUACAUAGCCGAACGGGGAUGGUGAUCCGCCAGACGGGGCUGGAGACAUGGCCCAGACUCCUACGGGAGGCAGCAGUAGGGAUUCUUCGGCAAUGGGGGGAACACUGACCGAGCAAGGCCGCGUGAGUGAAGAAGGGUUUCGGACCGUAAAGCUCUGUUGGUAAGGAAGCGGUACUUACCCAGAAAGGGACGGCUCACUCCGUGCCAGCAGCCGCGGUAAUAC
rnacentral:rRNA from 1 species